GAGAUUAUAGCUCAGUGGUAGAGUGUGUGCUUAGCAUGCGUGAGAUCCUGGGUUCAAUCCCCAGUACCUCCA
rnacentral:tRNA from 1 species